rnacentral:rRNA from 1 species
GACGAACGCUGGCGGCGUGCUUCAUACAUGCAAGUCGAACGAGAAUCUAACUUCGGUUAGAGGAAAGUGGCGGACGGGUGAGUAAUAUGUAGAGAAUCUGCCCUUGAGAGGGGGACAACAGAGGGAAACUUCUGCUAAUACCCCAUAUGAGCGUAGCUGAAAUGCUAUUCUUGAAAACUCCGGUGCUCAAGGAUGAGUCUGCAUCUGAUUAGCUAGUUGGCGGUGUAAUGGACCACCAAGGCGACGAUCAGUAGCUGAUUUGAGAGGAUGAUCAGCCACAAUGGGACUGAGACACGGCCCAUACUCCUACGGGAGGCAGCAGUAGGGAAUUUUGCGCAAUGGGGCGAAAGCCUGACGCAGCAACGCCGCGUGAACGAGAAGCCCUUCGGGGGUGUAAAGUUCUGUCAGUAGGGACGAACGAUGACGGUACCUACAGAGGAAGCACCGGCUAACUCCGUGCCAGCAGCCGCGGU